rnacentral:rRNA from 1 species
AGGAUGAACGCUGGCGGCGUGCUUAACACAUGCAAGUCGAACGGAGUUUUAACGGAGGUUUCGGAUGGAAGUUUAGAACUUAGUGGCGGACGGGUGAGUAACGCGUGGGUAACCUGCCUCAUACAGGGGGAUAACAGUUAGAAAUGACUGCUAACACCGCAUAAUAUAGCGAAACCGCAUGAUUUUGCUAUCAAAUAUUUAUAGGUAUGAGAUGGGCCCGCGUCUGAUUAGCUAGUUGGUGGGGUAAAGCCUACCAAGGCGACGAUCAGUAGCCGGCUUGAGAGAGUGACCGGCCACAUUGGGACUGAGACACGGCCCAAACUCCUACGGGAGGCAGCAGUGGGGAAUAUUGGACAAUGGGGGAAACCCUGAUCCAGCGAACCGCCGCGUGAGUGAAGAAGUAUUUCGGUAUGUAAAGCUCUAUCAGCAGGGAAGAUAAUGACAGUACCUGACUAAGAAGCCCCGGCUAACUACGUGCCAGCAGCCGC